rnacentral:tRNA from 1 species
GGUGCUGUGGCGCAGUGGGUUAACGCCCUGGUCUGAAGCACCGGCAUCCUAUAUUGGCACCGGUUCGAGACCCGUCUGCUCCA